rnacentral:rRNA from 1 species
UACGUAGGGGGCUAGCGUUGUCCGGAAUCAUUGGGCGUAAAGAGCGUGUAGGCGGCCCGGUAAGUCCGCUGUAAAAGUCAAAGGCUCAACCUUUGAAUGUCAGUGGAUACUGCCGGGCUAGAGUCCGGAAGAGGCGAGUGGAAUUCCUGGUGUAGCGGUGGAAUGCGCAGAUAUCAGGAGGAACACCGAUGGCGAAGGCAGCUCGCUGGGACGGUACUGACGCUGAGGCGCGAAAGCGUGGGGAGCGAACAGG